GACAGAGGGAGCAAACGUUGUUCGGAUUUACUGGGCGUAAAGCGCGUGUAGGCGGCUUUGCAAGUCGGAUGUGAAAGCCCACGGCUCAACCGUGGAAGUGCAUCCGAAACUGGAUGGCUGGAGUCUCGGAGAGGAAGGUGGAAUGCUUGGUGUAGAGGUGAAAUUCGUAGAUAUCAAGCAGAACACCUGCGGCGAAGGCGGCCUUCUGGACGAUGACUGACGCUGAGACGCGAAAGCGUGGGGAGCGAACAGG
rnacentral:rRNA from 1 species